CUUGCACUUGCGAGUCACUUUUGUGUUGUCGUUUAUCUCCGUCUGUAAGUGGACUUGUUACUGGAAAAGAUGGAAACUUUUGAAUUUUAUAACGUCUUGGAAGAUGUGUCGCCUGAAAAUUUUAACUCCAGUCGAAUGAAGAGGGAGCGAAAUGAAAUGCGACGUGUGUCUGUGAACUUUAUAAUGGACAUGUACAGCUUUUUGAUGCCCAGUGGUAACCAGCCUACCAUGUGGCUCAACAGAUGCCAGUGUACCUGAAUACUGAGACACAAUUAGAUGUUCUUUUCUUCUGCUUUUAAGAUUCCCAGUUCGGGAUGAUGUGCAGUUCAUGUUAGAUUUGUUAUUUCUACAGUUACAGUGAAGUAGAAGAGUCCGGUCAUGUUAUGGGGCAGCAGUUGAAGAAGAAGGAUGGAGAGAUGUGUGCCUUGUUGAAGUAUUGGCUGGUCCUCCUGCCCGCUCUUCUAGAAUCCUCCAUCUAAACCUUUGCUCUGAUCUGCUGUGCCUUUGCCAAGUGAUCACGAGAUCAACCAUAAAAACCAGCAGCUUUCUGUACUCGUGCAACAAAAUCUGGAAUGGUUUGCCAAUAGAGAAGUGCCAGGCUACAAAUGUCAAGCAUUUCGAAAAACUUCAACAAGCCCACUUUUCUAAUUUGGCUUUUUCUUAAUUACUUGCAUUGUUUAUUGCAGUGGUGCCCCCCUGCAUCUCCACCAUCUGUUACAUCAACUCCAACUUCCUGUGACAGAAGAAAAGUUCACAAGACGUCCUGAAAUGGAAUUGUGAUUGGAGUGAGACGGCCACAAUCAUGUAUGCUGGGAUGUGCAGAGGGGGCUGUUUGGGCUUUGGCUUGGGACCCCCAGAGGUUUAUUAUCUCCAGUGUCCUUGAAGGCUGCAAGUUUGUCUUUGUCCCCAGCCAUUUGACCAGGCAGUGCAUUUAUUACAAAGGACAAGGACCCCUCCAUAUGCUUCUUAUUUACUUUUAUAAUAUUUUCAGUUUUCUUUGUAACUGUAUAUCUUUGUGGAGCAAUUUGAGCAACACUUGUAAGCAAAGGUGAUAUAAAAAUAUUAUCAGUGAACAAAUAUUAGAGGACAGAUCAGGAAAAAUGUCAGUUUAAAUAGAACACAUUUUUUAUGGAAUAUUGCUGGAUAACAACUCUUUGACUCUGAGUAGCAUCUUGUUCAUAAAGGUAAAAUAGCAUUUUUCCUUUUUUGAUAAAUUUAAUGAUUCACUCUUAUUGUGUUCAAAACCUUGACUAACAUUUUUUUUUUUAAAUACUAAGGUAAAAAUCUGUAAAUAUAUUUGUGUUCUCCUUCCCUAAUAGUUAACACCUCCCCAAGUUG